GACGAACGCUGGCGGCAUGCCUAAUACAUGCAAGUCGAACGCUGAAGCACUCUGCUUGCAGAGUGCGGAUGAGUGGCGAACGGGUGAGUAACACGUGGGAAAUCUGCCUAUAAGAGGGGGAUAACAUUCGGAAACGGAUGCUAAUACCGCAUAUAUUCUUGGACCGCCUGGUCCUUGAAAGAAAGACGGCUUUGCUGUCGCUUAUAGAUGAUCCCGCGGCGUAUUAGUUAGUUGGUGGGGUAAAGGCCUACCAAGACAAUGAUACGUAGCCGACCUGAGAGGGUGAUCGGCCACACUGGGACUGAGACACGGCCCAGACUCCUACGGGAGGCAGCAGUAGGGAAUCUUCGACAAUGGGCGAAAGCCUGAUGGAGCAAUGCCGCGUGAAUGAAGAAGGUCUUCGGAUCGUAAAGUUCUGUUAUUAGAGAAGAACAAGUCAAGGAGUAACUGUCUUGACUUUGACGGUACCUAACCAGAAAGUCACGGCUAACUACGUG
rnacentral:rRNA from 1 species